CCCCGGUCUGGGUCCCCUGAGUGCACCAGCGGGCAGGUUUUUCUUCACAGUGUUCCUUGUGGGUUACUCAACCCUUCUACCAUUUCGUUUUCCCUUAAAGCUGCAUUCCAGUUUAUUUAUUUUCAUCAGUUAGUGCAGAUAGCUUGCUUUGUUUAUCUACUGUCACUUAAAGGUAUAUUCCCCUAUUAUUGCCACCAUGCAGGAUAAGGAGGAUGGGCCUGUGGGCACCCCUGGUGACUUUAAUAUAGAUAACCCUGAGGGUGCUAUGGCCUCCCAGGAAUUUCAGGCCCUGCUGGAUGCCACUAUGGCUUCGUCCUUACAAAAAGCUUUUGCUUCUGCAAUGGGUGCUGUUUCUUCCUCCUUCUCUCAGUCACUGCAUUCUAUGCUUAU